CAGUCGCCGCGGGAACACGUAGGUGGCAAGCGUUGUCCGGAAUUAUUGGGCGUAAAGCGCGCGCAGGCGGAUCAGUUAGUCUGUCUUAAAAGUUCGAGGCUUAACCCCGUGAUGGGAUGGAAACUGCUGAUCUAGAGUAUCGGAGAGGAAAGUGGAAUUCCUAGUGUAGCGGUGAAAUGCGUAGAUAUUAGGAAGAACACCAGUGGCGAAGGCGACUUUCUGGACGAAAACUGGCGCUGAGGCGCGAAAGCCAGGGGAGCGAACGGGAUUAGAUACCCCCGUAGUCCCUGUCUCUUAUACA
rnacentral:rRNA from 1 species